rnacentral:rRNA from 1 species
GAUGACUCUCGGCAACGGAUAUCUAGGCUCUCGCAUCGAUGAAGAACGUAGCGAAAUGCGAUACUUGGUGUGAAUUGCAGAAUCCCGUGAACCAUCGAGUCUUUGAACGCAAGUUGCGCCCGAGGCCAUUAGGCCGAGGGCACGCCUGCCUGGGCGUCA